rnacentral:ncRNA from 1 species
AAACGGAACAUGUUUAUGGAGACUUGCACAUACACGUAGUAUCUCUCUAUCUCUCGUUUUUCGCAUAGCUUGCAAAGUCUAGGUGCUGAAAGACGGUUUUGGGCUGAGCUAGGACCCCUUUCUGCAGCUACACACCUCGCGCAAAGUGCACCGACUUGUCAACUCCACUAUACAUUAGUUGGCUCCAGUGAUCGGGUCGGUUCGCCCGUUAACUGGCGCUUAUGCGGUUUCUUCCAUGGGUGACAGAAACUCACGCCGAAGCUGGACUCGUGACAAGACUGCCUUGCGGACGUUUUCAGGUGUAUGCUUUUCUUCGGGCUUAGUAUCCUGACCGGCCAUCAAAACAAUCGAAGUGACAUUGGUACGGACUCGGGGAAUCCGCAUGUCUAAUUAAAACAGGGAAGACAGAUGGUCCUUGUUGACGAUUACUGUCAGAUUCCCACGGUCCCUAACUACUACCUAGCGAAACCACAAUCAAGGGAAUGGGCUUGA